rnacentral:rRNA from 1 species
GGGAGAGAGGUGCUUGCACCUCUUGAGAGCGGCGGACGGGUGAGUAAUGCCUAGGAAUCUGCCUGAUAGUGGGGGAUAACGCCCGGAAACGGACGCUAAUACCGCAUACGUCCUACGGGAGAAAGCAGGGGACCUUCGGGCCUUGCGCUAUCAGAUGAGCCUAGGUCGGAUUAGCUAGUUGGUGAGGUAAAGGCUCACCAAGGCGACGAUCCGUAACUGGUCUGAGAGGAUGAUCAGUCACACUGGAACUGAGACACGGUCCAGACUCCUACGGGAGGCAGCAGUGGGGAAUAUUGGACAAUGGGCGAAAGCCUGAUCCAGCCAUGCCGCGUGUGUGAAGAAGGUCUUCGGAUUGUAAAGCACUUUAAGUUGGGAGGAAGGGUCAUUACCUAAUACGUGAGGAUUUUGACGUUACCGACAGAAUAAGCACCGGCUAACUCUGUGCCAGCAGCCGCGGUAAUACAGAGGGUGCAAGCGUUAAUCGGAAUUACUGGGCGUAAAGCGCGCGUAGGUGGUUUGUUAAGUUGAAUGUGAAAUCCCCGGGCUCAACCUGGGAACUGCAUCCCACACUGGCAAGCUAGAGUAUGGCAGAGGGUGGUGCAAUUUCCUGUGUAGCGGUGAACUGCGUAGAUAUAGGAAGGAACACCAGUGCGAAGGCGACCACCUGCGUCAUACUGACACUGAGGUGCGAAAGCGUGGGGAGCAAACGGAUUAGAUACC